rnacentral:lncRNA from 10 species
GUGGGAGGAAGCGCGUCCCAAGGCCCAGGAUCUGCGAGGCGACUUGGGGAAAACGCAGGCAGAAAAUAAAGCAUGCGAAGAAGUUAACUUGGUGCCAUUGGGCAGAGGGUGAGAGCCCAGCAAACCGGAGAGAUCAGCUGCCCACAUCAGUGGCGAGGAGUGCGGAGAGUGGGUGAGGCUGGGGCAGGAAGCAGGCCAGCCUGCCAGAGCCCAGGAACAGGACCUGCUGAAGCUCACACCCGUGGACCACCCAGACUGCCUGCCGCUACAGGAUGCCCUCCGCAUCUCCCAGGACUUCUUUCCGGCAUCAGUGUGGACAUUGACCCCACUGGACUGCAGUCACAGUGGACUCCCAAGGGGCAGGAUCCACCUCUGAUGUUCAGUGAAGACUACCAGAAAAGUCUGCUAGAGCAGUACCAUCUGGGUCUGGAUCAAAAACUCAGAAAAUACGUGGUUGGAGAGCUCAUCUGGAAUUUUGCCGAUUUCAUGACUAACCAGUGUGGUUGAGGAGUGGGCCCAGGGCACCUUCAAACUCAACCCCAAUGAUGAGGACAUCCACACAGCCAACAAGUGCCACCUGAAGG